rnacentral:rRNA from 1 species
AGUGAACGCUGGCGGUAGGCCUAACACAUGCAAGUCGAACGGCAGCACAGUAAGAGCUUGCUCUUACGGGUGGCGAGUGGCGGACGGGUGAGGUAUACAUCGGAAUCUACUUUUUCGUGGGGGAUAACGUAGGGAAACUUACGCUAAUACCGCAUACGACCUACGGGUGAAAGCAGGGGAUCUUCGGACCUUGCGCGAUUGAAUGAGUCGAUGUCGGAUUAGCUAGUUGGCGGGGUAAAGGCCCACCAAGGCGACGAUCCGUAGCUGGUCUGAGAGGAUGAUCAGCCACACUGGAACUGAGACACGGUCCAGACUCCUACGGGAGGCAGCAGUGGGGAAUAUUGGACAAUGGGCGCAAGCCUGAUCCAGCCAUACCGCGUGGGUGAAGAAGGCCUUCGGGUUGUAAAGCCCUUUUGUUGGGAAAGAAAAGCAGCAGGUUAAUACCCCGCUGUUCUGACGGUACCCAAAGAAUAAGCACCGGCUAACUUCGUG